UACGUAGGGUGCGAGCGUUGUCCGGAAUUAUUGGGCGUAAAGAGCUCGUAGGCGGUUUGUCGCGUCGACUGUGAAAACCUACAGCUUAACUGUGGGCUUGCAGUCGAUACGGGCAGACUUGAGUUCGGUAGGGGAGACUGGAAUUCCUGGUGUAGCGGUGAAAUGCGCAGAUAUCAAGGAGGAACACCGGUGGCGAAGGCGGGUCUCUGGGCCGAUACUGACGCUGAGGAGCGAAAGCGUGGGGGAGCGAACAGG
rnacentral:rRNA from 1 species